GACGAACGCUGGCGGCGUGCCUAAUACAUGCAAGUCGAGCGGAUGGAUUCGGGGCUUGCCCCGAUGAAGUCAGCGGCGGACGGGUGAGUAACACGUGGGUAACCUGCCUGGUAGACUGGGAUAACGCUUGGAAACGAGUGCUAAUACCGGAUAAUCGCUUAGAUCGCAUGGUCUGAGUGUAAAAGGAGCUGUCGCUUCACUGCCAGAUGGACCCGCGGCGCAUUAGCUAGUUGGUGAGGUAACGGCUCACCAAGGCGACGAUGCGUAGCCGACCUGAGAGGGUGAUCGGCCACACUGGGACUGAGACACGGCCCAGACUCCUACGGGAGGCAGCAGUAGGGAAUCUUCCGCAAUGGGCGCAAGCCUGACGGAGCAACGCCGCGUGAGUGAUGAAGGCCUUCGGGUUGUAAAACUCUGUCUUCUGUGAAGAACCACCAUGUGCACAGAAAGCUCAUGGCCUGACGGUAACAGAGGAGGAAGCCCCGGCUAACUACGUGCCAGCAGCCGCCGUAAAAC
rnacentral:rRNA from 1 species